rnacentral:rRNA from 1 species
UACGUAGGCAGCGAGCGUUGUUCGGAGUUACUGGGCGUAAAGGGUGUGUAGGCGGUUGUUUAAGUUUGGUGUGAAAGCCCCCGGCUCAACUGGGGAGGGUCAUUCGAUACUGAUCGACUCGAAGGCAGGAGAGGGUAGUGGAAUUCCCGGUGUAGUGGUGAAAUGCGUAGAUAUCGGGAGGAACACCAGUGGCGAAGGCGACUACCUGGCCUGUUCUUGACGCUGAGGCGCGAAAGCUAGGGGAGCAAACGGG